CGAAGGUUCAUGUAAGUGACUGGUUUUUGAGAUGUCCCCAUGUCGCUCCUCCCCAGGGCGACACGGGCGAACCCCAAACCCUAGCCGCCGGGUCCGCCUCCCCUCCCCUCCCUGCCUCGCUGUCGCCUGAGCAGCCGCCGGCAAAGCCGGCCGGCUGCCAUGACGGCGGCGGCGAGGCUUCCCCUGGCCAGACGGCUCUGGUUGGGGGACCUGGGUAGCAAAAGGGCGGGGUGGAGCGCGCAGCGGCGGCGGCAGGCCAGGGCGCGCGACGACGUCGGCUAGCCGGAGCGUGCGAUGGAGUGGCAGGCCAGCACGCGUGCGGAGGCUGCGGCGGCAGAUCUGCN
rnacentral:lncRNA from 1 species